CCCCUUCCCCGGCCCCGCCACCGCUGGAGUCGCGGCGCUGCGGGCCGGCGCUGGGUUGGAGGAUCCCCCUGGCUCGGUGGGGAAUCUGUGCCGGCGCGGCCUCUAAGCUAGGUGGGCGAGCGAGCGGCAGAGCGAGCUAGCAAGUCCGGCGGCGGCGUGCGGCGCCGUUAAGGGCGCUGCCCCGCGCGCUCCCAGGCCGCCCCGGGUCCCAGGCUCUUAGGAGGAGGAUAAUUCCUGGGCCCGAAAAGCGGGGGCGGACGGAGGCGUUGUCAUCGCUCAAGCUCGUUGCGGCGUGUGGAACCUUAGGUUGGCGCCUGGGGUCGGGGACUGAGGUUAAGGGCGCUGCCUGUCGGAGCGGAGAUCCGGGUUUGCCUCGCGCCCCGGCUCAGGACCCUGACGCGGGUGAGGCGGCCCCGGGAGCAUGAGCGGGCAGCGCGUGGACGUCAAGGUGGUGAUGUUGGGCAAGGAGUACGUGGGCAAGACGAGCCUGGUGGAGCGAUACGUGCACGACCGCUUCCUGGUGGGGCCUUAUCAGAAUACCAUUGGGGCCGCCUUCGUAGCCAAGGUGAUGUCUGUCGGAGACCGGACGGUGACUUUGGGUAUUUGGGACACAGCAGGCUCUGAGCGCUAUGAGGCCAUGAGCCGAAUCUACUAUCGGGGCGCCAAGGCUGCCAUCGUCUGCUAUGACCUGACAGACAGCAGCAGCUUUGAACGGGCAAAGUUCUGGGUGAAGGAACUGCGCAACCUAGAGGAGGGCUGUCAGAUCUACUUGUGUGGCACCAAGAGUGACCUGCUGGAGGAGGACAGGCGGCGGCGACGAGUGGACUUCCACGACGUUCAGGACUAUGCAGACAAUAUCAAAGCUCAGCUCUUUGAAACAUCCAGCAAGACAGGCCAGAGUGUGGACGAGCUCUUCCAGAAAGUGGCCGAGGAUUACGUCAGUGUGGCCGCCUUCCAGAGGACAAGGGCGUGGACCUGGGCCAGAAGGCAAACCCCUACUUCUACAACUGCUGUCAUCACUGAGUCACCACUCACUUGGCCUGGGGGGGGGGAUUCCCCCAGGGAGGCUGGACCUAGCUCUUGUCUGGGCUUGGAUGAUCAAACAUCUGAGCUACCUGGGUCCCCGUGGCAGCAGAGGUGGCACCUGCCUGUGCUGGCCCAUGGAGCGGAGACAGCAUUGGGGCUGACUGAUGGGCACAAAGAGGUUUACACUGUAGCAACCUCUGGCCCCGCUACACUAGCCCUAGGAAGCUCAGCUGAGAGCUGACGGGCCACAGUCAAUGAGAGUCUCAUGCAGCAGCUACUGAGCUCUAAAUGAUCUGGAAUGUCGAACACAUGGAACAGCCCAGUCAUUACUCAGGAGGAACAGGGGCUUGUCCCACCUCCUUUCCUGCCAUGAUCUCAGAGAGGGGAAGCUGCCAGGACCAACUUCCUUCCUGCCACUCUGUUCUCAUGAGGCAACGUGCGAGUCCAGCUCCAGUGAGUAGAUGCUGCCAAGCCUGGAAAAGGAUCGCUGAUGCACUUCAUGCCCUGACUGUAGUG